AUUGAACGCUGGCGGCAGGCCUAACACAUGCAAGUCGAACGAGUGGCGGACGGGUGAGUAAUGUCUGGGAAACUGCUCGAUGGAGGGGGAUAACUUCUGGAAACGGUAGCUAAUACCGCAUACCAUCAGAUGUGCCCAGAUGGGAUUAGCUGGUUGGUGGGGUAACGGCUCACCAAGGCGACGAUCCCUAGCUGGUCUGAGAGGAUGACCAGCCACACUGGAAAUGAGACACGGUCCAGACUCCUACGGGAGGCAGCAGUGGGGAAUAUUGCACAAUGGGCGCAAGCCUGAUGCAGCCAUGCCGCGUGGAUGAAGAAGGCCUUCGGGUUGUAAAGUACUUUCAGCGGGAAAGCGGUACCCACAGAAGAAGCACCGGCUAACUCCGUGCCAGCAGCCGCGGUAAUUC
rnacentral:rRNA from 1 species